rnacentral:ncRNA from 1 species
UUAAAAACUUUGAUCAGGGAAAGUAAUCAAAUCUUAUCUAUUUCAGCGAAGCAGGGUUAGUGAGAGCCUGCCAGUAGGUAGUUUGGUGAAGUUCCCCUGUGAGUUGUCGGCUGAACACAAAAGUAAGCUGGACCGGUUUUCUACCGUUAAGUGGAUAGGUUAUUGGAAUCAUUAAUAUUCCUGUGACUGAUGAGUGGGCUUUUUAGCCAAAAAGAUUGGUACCACGAGAUUAUAACCCUCGUUCUUUA